CCCCCGCCUGCGGACGCGCCGCACGGGGCAGGUGCCCGGUUCACCGCGCGCCGCGGGCGGGGCUGGAGCUCUGCGGCGGAGCGUACCCGCCCGGAGCCCGGAAUCGGGCGCGGGGAAGCCGAGGGUACCACGGACCUCCCGGCGACUUGGGCGAGUGUACACGGCACAGAUCAUCCAGGAAAAACAGAAGAUAGUCUUAGAGGAACUCAAUCAAAAUGCUGACUUAUUUGAGAUACUUUUGAGAACAUCAGCUUAUAUCAGACCAGAGCCUAUUUAACACGAGGCCUCUUCUACACAAACAGGGAAUGCAGCCUUCUUAAUACUGUUCUGGAUGGCUUCUGUGUUGCAGUAUAGACAGAAGUUAAGAAACAAUGGUUCUGAAAUCAGAAACAUCUGCAUUCUGGUCUGCUACCUGCCACUUAAUAGCUGAAUGAGUUGGGUAAGCCGCUUCUUUCUUUUUUUUUUUUUUUAAAGAUUUUAUUUAUUUAUUCAUGAGAGACACACACAGAGAGAGGGAGAGACAUA
rnacentral:lncRNA from 1 species